UACGUAGGGGGCAAGCGUUGUCCGGAUUUAUUGGGCGUAAAGCGCGUGUAGGCGGCCAUGUAGGUCCGUUGUGAAAACUCGAGGCUCAACCUCGAGACGCCGAUGGAAACCAUGUGGCUAGAGUCCGGAAGAGGAGAGUGGAAUUCCUGGUGUAGCGGUGAAAUGCGCAGAUAUCAGGAGGAACACCAAUAGCGAAGGCAGCUCGCUGGGACGGUACUGACGCUAAGGCGCGAAAGCGUGGGGAGCGAACAGG
rnacentral:rRNA from 1 species